UACGUAGGGUGCAAGCGUUAAUCGGGAUUACUGGGCGUAAAGCGCGUGUAGGCGGAUCGUUAAGUUGGGGUGAAUCCCGAGGCUCAACCUCGGAACUGCCUUCAAAACUGACGACCUGGACUCAAGUAGAGGCAAGUGGAAUUGCGAGUGUAGAGGUGAAAUUCGUAGAUAUUCGCAGGAACACCAGUGGCGAAGGCGACUUGCUGGACUUGUAGUGACGCUGAGACGCGAAAGCGUGGGGAGCAAACAGGAUUAGAAACCCCC
rnacentral:rRNA from 1 species